GACGAACGCUGGCGGCGUGCUUAACACAUGCAAGUCGAACGGAAAGGCCCUGCUUUUGUGGGGUGCUCGAGUGGCGAACGGGUGAGUAACACGUGAGUAACCUGCCCUUGACUUUGGGAUAACUUCAGGAAACUGGGGCUAAUACCGGAUAGGAGCUCCUGCUGCAUGGUGGGGGUUGGAAAGUUUCGGCGGUUGGGGAUGGACUCGCGGCUUAUCAGCUUGUUGGUGGGGUAGUGGCUUACCAAGGCUUUGACGGGUAGCCGGCCUGAGAGGGUGACCGGCCACAUUGGGACUGAGGUACGGACCAGUCUCGUACGGGAGGCAGCAGUGGGGAAUAUUGCACAGUGGGCGGAAGCCUGAUGCAGCGACGCCGCGUGCGGGAUGACGGCCUUCGGGGUGUAAACCGCUUUCGCCUGUGACGAAGCGUGAGUGACGGUAAUGGGUAAAGAAGCACCGGCUAACUACGUG
rnacentral:rRNA from 1 species